AUGCCCAUGAGCAUUAGAAAGACAUUCUUGAUCACCAGAUUCCUCUAUGAUAGUUUUGACAACACCUAUCAGGCAAUAACUGGCAUUGAUUUUGUAGUCAAAAACAAUGUGUUUGGAGGAUUGAGCAAUCAGACUACAGUGUGAUAUAAUGCGGGUCAGAAAUGUUUCUGUGGCCUCAUUCUCAGUUGCAUCCACAGUUCUGCUGCAGCCAAAAUAGAUUACAGUGUUGCAAAUGUCAGUUGCUUCCAGCACACUACAAAUGGAUUGGUGAGGUCAGAACAGAAGGAAUAAGUGGUGUUAUCAUCAUGCUAUUAGGAAAUAAAAGAGAUCUUGUUGACGAAAGACAAGUGUCUACUGAGGAGGGAUUGAGGAAAGCCCAAGAGCUGAAUGUCAUGUUUAUUGAAACUAGUGAAAAAGCAGGAUAAACGUGAAGCAGCUCUUCUGACGUGUGGCAGCAGCUUUGCCUGGAAUGGAAAGCACACAGGACAGAAGCAGAGAAGACAUGAUUGAUAUAAAACUGGAAAAGCCUCAGGACCAACCAGUUGGCAAAUGCUGUUCCUGCUAA